rnacentral:rRNA from 1 species
CUGCUGCCUCCCGUAGGAGUUUGGGCCGUGUCUCAGUCCCAAUGUGGCCGAUCAACCUCUCAGUUCGGCUACGCAUCAUUGCCUUGGUAAGCCUUUACCCCACCAACUAGCUAAUGCGUCGCGGGCCCAUCCAAAAGCGGUAGCAUAGCCACCUUUUACAUAGUUACCAUGCGGUAACUAUGGUUAUGCGGUAUUAGCACCUGUUUCCAAGUGUUAUCCCCCUCUUUUGGGCAGGUUGCCCCACGUGUUACUCACCCGUUCGCCA